rnacentral:piRNA from 1 species
UGGUUGUAUUGGAUGCCUAUACUAAGCCC